rnacentral:rRNA from 1 species
GGUUGAUCCUGCCAGUAGUCAUAUGCUUGUUUCAAAGAUUAAGCCAUGCAAGUCUAAGUAUAAGCUAACUUAUACGGCAAAACUGCGAAUAGCUCAUUAUAACAGUUAUAAUCUACACGACGAUCAUUACCAAAUGGAUAUCCAUGGUAAUUCUGGGGCUAAUACAUGCUAAAACACCCGACUUUUUGGAAGGGUGGCAUUCAUUAGUUUUCAGACCCAGCCGCUGGCAACAGUGUAACUGGUGAUCAUAAUGACGGUGCGGAUCGCAUUCACAUGCGACAGUUCGUUCGAGU